rnacentral:rRNA from 1 species
AUUGAACGCUGGCGGCAGGCCUAACACAUGCAAGUCGAACGAGUGGCGGACGGGUGAGUAAUGUGUGGGAAACUGCCCGUUGGAGGGGGGUCACUACUGGAAACGGUAGCUAAUACCGCAUACCAUCGGAGGUGCCCAGAUGGGAUUAGCUAGUGGGUGGGGUAACGGCUCACCUAGGCGACGAUCCCUAGCUGGUCUGAGAGGAUGAACAGCCACACUGGAACUGAGACACGGUCCAGACUCCUACGGGAGGCAGCAGUGGGGAAUAUUGCACAAUGGGCGCAAGUCUGAUGCAGCCACGCCGCGUGUGUGAAGAAGGCCUUCGGGUUGUAAAGCACUUUCAGCGGGGAGGCGUUACCCGCAGAAGAAGCACCGGCUAACUCCGUGCCAGCAGCCGCGGUAAUUC